rnacentral:rRNA from 1 species
AGGACGAACGCUGGCGGCGUGCUUAACACAUGCAAGUCGAGGGCACUUUGGGGGCAACUCUGGAGUGACCGGCGAACGGGUGCGUAACACGUGAGCGACCUUGCCUCGUGGUGGGGGAUAGCCGGCCCAACGGCCGGGUAAUACCGCAUAUGGUAGUUUCUUCGCAUGGGGAGACUAGCAAAGCCUUGCAGCAAUGCAAUGGCGCCACAGGGGGGGCUCGCGGCCUAUCAGCUAGUUGGGGGGGUAAUGGCCCACCAAGGCGACGACGGGUAGC